AUGUGUGAAGCGCUUGAUGCUCUGUAGAUGAAGGAGGAGAAUGUUCUCAAAUUCCUUACAUCAGGAACUUACUUAGGUGGUAUCAGCCUUGACUUGCAAAUGGAACAGUACCUCUGCAAGAGGAAAAGUGAUGGCAUUUAAAUUAUAACUCUGAAGAGGACCUGGGAAGAGUUCUGCUGGUGGCUCAUGCCAUUGAAAACCCAGCUGAUGUCAGUGUCAAAUCUUCCAGGAAUAUCAGCCAGCAGCUGUGCUGAAGCGGGCUGCUGCCACUGGAGCCACUCCAAUUGCUGGAUGCUUCACUUCUGGAACCUUCACCAACCAGAUCCAGGCAGCUUUCCUGGAGAUACGUCUUCUGGUU
rnacentral:lncRNA from 1 species